rnacentral:tRNA from 12 species
AUUUUUAAUUGACAUAGACCAAGUCCUCUAGUAAAAUGAGGAUGAUGCAUCGGGAAUAGC